rnacentral:lncRNA from 1 species
ACAUUCUUCUAUCUUCUUUUCCAUGUAGGUCCGCCUAUUCUACUCUAAUAAGUCCUCUAUUAUGUUCUUUCUUUUUAUCUUUUAUGUUACUAUUUUCUCUUCCAAAUACGUUUUUAUUGCACUUUUCUUAUCAAUCUCGCAUCUCUUAUGUUCUUUUUUUCAUCUUCUCUAAUCUCUCAUCUCAUAUGUUUUUUUUUAUGUUUUAUUAUAAUGUCUUUGAUAUUAUUUUAUGCUACUAUUUAUAUUUGUCUUUUAU